rnacentral:lncRNA from 1 species
UUUUGAUGACUUAGAUUUCUUAGCCUGGUUUUCUUCUUGGAUUUGUCUCUUGCACUAAUACCUAUUACUUCUUUCCUCGCCGACCGAAAAAGACAGUCAUUUGAUUUCUUAAUAUGCCUCUUGGAGGAUGUGAACCCUUUCUCCAAUGCAUUAUCUUUCCCUAUCUAAGUCGACGAGGUUUAUGCUACGGGUGAAGCUCCAAUGUCCCAAAGGUGCACUCCCGUUGUCACCUCCACCUAAACAAGAGUGGGAGUUGGAGAAGGGGUUCGAAGUGCAUCAUUUGUCUCCAUAGCUUUCUUCCUCUUGAAGAUAUUCCUGAGUGAC